rnacentral:rRNA from 1 species
AUAGGCUCGAGGGACGUAGAGGGAGGCGGAGCUCUCGGAGUAGCGGUGGAAUGCGUAGAUACCGAGAGGUACCCCGAUGGUGAAGACAGCCUCCUGGGCGUCACCUGACACUGAAGCGCUAAGGCCAGGGGAGCAAAGGGGAUUAGAUACCCCCGUAGUCCUGGCUUCAAACGAUGUGGGCUUGGUGUCGGCUCCCGAAGAGAGUCGUUGCCGGAGCUAACGUGUUAAGCCCACCGCCUGGGGAUUACGUCCGCAAGGAUGAAACUCAAGGGAAUUGACGGGGGCCCACACAACCGGUGGAGCACGUGGUUUAAUUCGAUGAUAAGCGAAGAACCUUACCAGGACUUGACAUGUCGGUAGUAGGACCCUGAAAAGGGAACGAACCAAAGCUUUGCUUUGGUAGCCGUCACAGGUAUUGCAUGGCUGUCGUCAGCUCGUGUCGUGGGACGUUGGGUUAAGUCCCGUAACGAGCGCAACCCCUGCCCUUAAUUGCCAGCGCAUUUGGCGGGUACUAUAAGGGGACUGCCGGAGAAUAUCCGGAGGAAGGAGGGGACGAUCGUCAAGUCAUUAUGAUCCUUAUGUUCUGGGCGACACACGUGCUACAAUGGGCACUACAGUGGGGAGCCAAUCCGCAAGGAUGAGCAAAUCCCAAAAAGGUGCCCCCAGUGCGGAUUGGGGUCUGCAACCCGACCCCAUGAA